rnacentral:rRNA from 1 species
AUAAUAAUUAGUUUUUUAAUUGGAAACUAGAAUGAAUGAUUAGAUAAAAUAUGUGCUUUUUUUUAUUAAAUUUAAUAAAAUUUAAAUUUUUAAUUAAAAAGUUAAAAUUUAUUAAAAAGACGAGAAGACCCUAUAGAUUUUUAUUUAAUUAAUAAAAUUUAUUUUAAAUUAAUUAAAUUUUAUUGGGGGGAUAAUAAAAUUUAAAAAACUUUUAUUAAUUUAAACAUUUAUUUAUGAUUUUUAAUAUUUUAAACUAUUGUGCUUAAUAAAUAAAGAUUAAAAUACCUUAGGGAUAACAGCAUAAUUUUAAUUUUAAGAUCUUAUUUGAAUUAAAGAUUGU